UGUCUUUGUGUCUUUGUGUGUGAGUGUAUGUGUGUGUGUGUCUGUGUUUUUGUGUUUGAGUGUGCGUGAGGUUCACACACUUUGUGCUGACUGCAGUGAAAGCGGAGGGUCAGGGAUAGUUAGACCUCGUCCUCUCUGCAGACUGAACAGCUGGAACAACUCUGAAGAUCUGGGAGGGAAACUACAUUCUACAUUCACUACUGCGAGUACUGCAGUACAAACCUGAGCUGAAGAGGACCUGGAAAGAACAACCCCAAACAUGCAGCACACUAUGAAACAUCCAGCUGUGCAAGACGAGCAGAAACACCACAGCGGGAAAACUCUGACAUGAAGUUUGAGUUUUCCAGCAGGAGAGAGACUCAAGAUCACAGCCACAGACUCUGAUGGAUGCACUGCGAGCAGCUUGGGGUUUUGGUCUUGUCCGAGGAUAUAUGUCAUGCAGACAGGAGCAGACGGGGAUGGAACCUAAAUCUUCUGUUUAAUGUUUGCAGUUUUUUACUUCAGCUCUUUUAUUCUUGUGUUGUUUCCUGUGAUGUGCACUCUGUCUACUCUGUCACUUUGAGGCUGUAAAUCUAAUAAAAAAUUAUCUUUGUGUUAUGUUUGCCUGUUUUUAGGUCCUCUA